AUAUCAUUAAGCGGAGGAAAAGAAACUAACAAGGAUUCCCCUAGUAACGGCGAGUGAAGCGGGAAGAGCUCAAGCUUAAAAUCUCCAUAUCUUUGAUAUGGCGAAUUGUAGUCUAUAGAAGCGAUUAUCAGCAUAGCAAUAUGGGAAAAGUCCCUUGGAAAAGGGCAGCAUAGAGGGUGAUACUCCCGUCUUUGCCCAGGUUGUCUAUGUGUACGAUACGUUUUCUUUGAGUCGAGUUGUUUGGGAAUGCAGCUCAAAGUAGGUGGUAAAUUCCAUCUAAAGCUAAAUAUUGGUGCGAGACCGAUAGCGCACAAGUA
rnacentral:rRNA from 1 species